rnacentral:rRNA from 1 species
UACGGAGGGGGCUAGCGUUGUUCGGAAUUACUGGGCGUAAAGCGCACGUAGGCGGCUUUGUAAGUUAGAGGUGAAAGCCCAGGGCUUAACCCUGGAAUUGCCUUUAAGACUGCAUCGCUAGAAUCGUGGAGAGGUAAGUGGAAUUCCGAGUGUAGAGGUGAAAUUCGUAGAUAUUCGCAAGAACACCAGUGGCGAAGGCGACUUACUGGACACGUAUUGACGCUGAGGUGCGAAAGCGUGGGGAGCAAACAGG